AGAGUUUGAUCAUGGCUCAGGAUGAACGCUGGCGGCGUGUCUAAGGCAUGCAAGUCGAAAGAUUCACUUCGGUGAAUCUUGGCAAACGGGAGAGUAACACAUUGGUAACCUACCCUGAAGACGAGGAUAACUUCGAGAAAUCGGAGAUAAUACUCGAUAAAGGCGGGGGGAUAUAAAUCAUUCCCGCCUAAAGCUCCGGCGCUUCGGGAGGGGCCUAUGGCCUAUCAGUUUGUUGGUGAGGGUAAAAGCCCACCAAGACUAUGACGGGUAGCGGGUGUGAGAGCAUGACCCGCCUCACUGGGACUGAGACACUGCCCAGACUCCUACGGGAGGCUGCAGUCGAGAAUCUUCCUCAAUGGCCGAAAGGCUGAAGGAGCGACGCCGCGUGCAGGAAGACGCCCCUCGGGGUGUAAACUGCUUUUAUGUGGGACGAAACAAUGACGGUACCACAAGAAUAAGGGGCUGCUAACUUCGUGCCAGCAGCAGCGGUAAUACGAAGGCCCCAAGCGUUAUCCGGAUUUAUUGGGUGUAAAGGGUCCGCAGGCGGUUUAACGCAUCUCCUGUUAAAUCUCAAGGCUCAA
rnacentral:rRNA from 1 species